rnacentral:rRNA from 1 species
UACGUAGGUGGCAAGCGUUGUCCGGAUUUACUGGGCGUAAAGAGCGCGCAGGCGGUCGUUCAAGUCGCGUGUGAAAGCCCCCGGCUCAACUGGGGAGGGUCACGCGAUACUGAUCGACUCGAAGGCAGGAGAGGGUAGUGGAAUUCCCGGUGUAGUGGUGAAAUGCGUAGAUAUCGGGAGGAACACCAGUGGCGAAGGCGAACUACCUGGCCUGUCUGACGCUGAGGCGG